AGCGAACGUUAGCGGCGGGCCUAACACAUGCAAGUCGAGCGAGGAAGCGGCUUCGGCCGUUAGUAAAGCGGCGGACGGGUGAGUAACACGUGGAUAAUCUGCCCUUCAGCGGGGGAUAACUGUCCGAAAGGAUAGCUAAUACCGCGUACGUCGGCGAGGACCUCGGUUCUUGUCGGGAAAGCAGCCCUCUUCAUGAAAGGUUGCACUGAAGGAUGAGUCCGCGUCCCAUCAGCUAGGUGGUAAGGUAAUGGCUCACCAAGGCUUAGACGGGUAGCUGGUCUGAGAGGAUGAUCAGCCACACUGGAACUGAGACACGGUCCAGACUCCUACGGGAGGCAGCAGUGGGGAAUAUUGGGCAAUGGGCGCAAGCCUGACCCAGCCACGCCGCGUGAGUGAUGAAGGCCUUCGGGUCGUAAAGCUCUGUGGGGAGCGACGAAAAAACGCUGGCUAACAUCCAGCGGAUUGACGGUAGCUCCUUAGCAAGCACCGGCUAACUCUGUGCCAGCAGCCGCCGCGGUAA
rnacentral:rRNA from 1 species